UCUAUGGAGGACUAGUGGUUAGGCUUCGGCACUCUCGCUGCCAUGGCCUUGGUUCGAUUGCCGGCCAGGAAA